UACGUAGGGUGCAAGCGUUGUCCGGAAUUAUUGGGCGUAAAGAGCUCGUAGGCGGUUCGUCGCGUCGGCUGUGAAAACCCGGAGCUCAACUCCGGGCCUGCAGUCGAUACGGGCGGACUCGAGUUCGGCAGGGGAGACUGGAAUUCCUGGUGUAGCGGUGAAAUGCGCAGAUAUCAGGAGGAACACCAGCGGCGAAGGCGGCGCUCUGGGCCGGAACUGACGCUGAGGAGCGAAAGCGUGGGUAGCAAACAGG
rnacentral:rRNA from 1 species